UGACCUCUGACCUCAAAUCAGGUAGGACUACCCGCUGAACUUAAGCAUAUCAAUAAGCGGAGGAAA
rnacentral:rRNA from 1 species